ensembl:lncRNA
CCCUUUUCUUUCCAAUCGUUUCCAUUUCUUCUCCAACUCUUAUAUCCACAUCUCCUUAGGUAGACUGGGGUGUUAUGACCGAGAAGCACAAAGUACUUUACAGGAUAGAUCACUAAUGUUUUCAAAAAGAGCUCAUGCAGAGGAUAGACUUACGUACAGAGGCGGUGGAGCCAAGGCCUAGGUAACUGCACAGUCUGGAUGGUUCUUUUGUCACUGCUGCUCAGCUGACAAUAUCCUAUGACUGAUCAAUUAUUUCUUUCCCAAGCAGUGAAGCUAGUGUCAUCCAAGGGCUUCCAGAAGAGACAGAAGAUAUUUCCUCCCCGGGACCAUGGACCCAAGCGGGAUAUGGAGCAGCACGUGUUCCCGGGUUCCGAGCAAUUUGCUUUCAGCAGGGCUAAUGAGAGCUUCGAGAUCUCUGCAGUCAUCUCCAGAAAGGGCUCAGAGAUACGCGCAGGAAACUGAGACCCAAGUGCCCACGCAUCACAACUUCAUUCAGCAGUGGUCCACCACAGUGCCGCUGCCGUCACGGUCCCCACCCAGGGGAGGGCUGCUCCUAAGGCCAAUGGACUCAGUGCUGCAGUGAAGAUGCAAAGCUUCCGCUCCCUGUACCCAUACCUGGGCCGUUCCAGCUGACCUGGAGCAAAGGAGGCUCUUCUGGGCACUGAUUCUCCCUGAAAGCCGACCAGGUGGAGCUCAUUCCGGCAGGCCUCCUUGCACCCUCACCUCUUUCCUGGUAGGAUCCAGAGAUCUGCCCCGCCUCUCCCGUGGGGGCUGCUGGGUAGGGCCUCUGCUUCCCAUGGAUCACAGUGCAGUUCCCCGCGGCCUCGCCGAGUGUUGUGAGCUCAACAAGUGUUGCGGUAGGGCGCUCAACUCUUCCAAAGGAAGGCCCCACUAGCAUCUUGGAAGCUGCAAAAUAAAGAAAAAAAAAUAGAGAAUUGUCAUAUUGGACUCUCUCAAAAGAAAAAAGAAAAAACAAGAAAGAAAGAAGAGAAAAACAGAAUGGAUACCCACUAUUGACAAAAGAGAAAUUUGGAUGAAAUUCAGGAAUACAGAAUCUAGGUGAGAACUAACUUAGGAGACAUGAGUUCGAUUGCUGGGUCGGAAAGAGCCCCUGGAGAAGGAAACGGCAACACACUCUAGUAUUCUUGCCUGGGAAAUCCCAUGGACAAGGAACGUGGCUGGCUACAAUUUAUGGAAUCUCAAAACAGUCAGACACAGAUGAGCGAUUAAACAACUCUUAUUUAAGUACUUCUGUCACCUGGAGAUGCUGCUUCCCCUUAGCCUCUGAGUCUUUUAAUAUGUUAUUCCCUCUGCCUGGAACACAGUUUUUGACGGCCAACGAAAUGCCAACAGUUGGCAUUUGAAUCAUUGUGGUGAUUAAUUUUAUGUGUCAUCUUGAUUGGGCUAAGGGGUGCCCAGAUAACCUGUGAAACAUUUCUGGAUAUGUCUGCAAGGAUGUUUCUGAAAGAGAUAAGCACUGAAUUUGUAGACUGAGUAAAGAAAAACACAUUCCCCAGUGUGGGAGGACAUCAGCCAGUUGGUUGAAGACAUGAAUAGAAAAAAAGACUGAGGAAGGGUGAAGUUGCUGUAUGCUUGGACAGCCAUCUUCUUCUUUCUUCAGACAUAGGUAUUCCUGGUUCUCAGACUUUUAGAUUUGGACUGCCUUAUCCUUUCUUCCCCUAGCUUCCCUUGUUCUCUAGCUUGCAGAUGGCAGGCCAUGGAGCUUUUCAGUCUCCAUAAUUGUAUGACCAUUACUUACAAUAAAUCUCCUCAUACAUAAUUUAUUAGUUCUGUUUCUCUAGAGAACCCUGACUAAUACAGAUGUCAAUACAGAUAUGUCUUAGGUUCCUUUACUUGUAUAUAAUACCAAAAAAAACCAACCCUCAUAUACACACAUCCAGAUCCAACUCAUAAGCUUCUUUUAUUGCCAGCUCCCUCACCCAGAAAGAUUAAAAUUCCCUGGUGCCCGCAGGCUUGGCCUAAAGAAGAGACACCAGGCUUCCUUUUCGUGCAGCCCUUUGGGUGUAGCUGCUGUUCCCGUUGAUCCCUGCUCUAUGUGUGCCCAACUGGUUUACCUCUUUGAUUCAACCUCAUCUGUUAUUUACACACAUUCAAACGAGCACUUAACAAUAGUGGUCAUAGCAGUCCCUUAGGUUUUUCAGUCCUAGAAAUUUCUACUUAUUUAGCCAAUGUCUUCUAAUCAUCUAAAAGGAGACUCAGCUCAUAAUUAAUAAAAAUUGAAAAAGCCAGGUCCUAAAGGAAUUUCUCAAGAUUUCUACUGAUUCAGCAUUCUUCACUCGCCCACUGCAGACCAGUCACAUUUCACUUAUCCCAGGGCCCUUAAUUUUGAUGUUUCUUCUUCCUGGAAGAUUUCCCUGUGUCCCUCACCCUUGGUCUUGCUGGGUUCCCCCACCAAGGAUUCCUAAAUACCUUUUACUUCCCUGUGACCUUCUCUGUGCUAGACUAUCUCUUGUCUGUGCUCUGAGCUUCCUCAAGGCAGAGUGUGUAUUUGUCAAGGCUCUCGCUAUAUCCAUAGGACCUGGCAUAUGGUAGCUGCAUGAUAAAUAGAGCUGAACAAAUAAAUAAAACAAACUGUGGCGAGAAUAGAGCUUGCAUUAAAAGUUUAUCUCCACUUUCCCCCUUUAUCCCCAGGAGACCCCAUCCUCCAGAAUUUAAAGAAGAAAGUUGAACCCUUCUCACUUUAAGCCUAUCUUAAAAGCUGCUUUUAGAAACUCCAGUGCACACUCACACACCAUUAUAUGUUAUUUUAGGCUGGUGUAAUAAUAAAACUGUCAAUCCUAUGAAUAAGAACUGUUUCUUUACUUGGAUUCUUGCUCAUGUUCGUGUAUAUUUAUGUAUUACUAGAAAAGCAGCAUUCUUAAGAUUUCUUAGAUUGUUUUGAUAAGAUGUGACUCUACUUUUCCCAGCCUUUCUUAUUAUAAGAAUCUUUAACAAGCGCUUUAAACAGUUUUGCACAUGCUACCUUACAUUUUCAUGUGAUGUAAAGUGUAGCAAAAUCCUUUUUUUUCUCCAAAGAAUUUUUCUUAAUAAUAUUUAAAUAAUGUAAGUGUUUCUGCUUUUGUAAUGCUCUCUGUGCAAAUAGAAUAGUUGCCAAUGUUUAUCAUGGGAAGCACACCAAUUCUUUGGUUUCUGGUGAGGGAUAAUUACAAUGAUUAUUAUUUAUAGGGCAAAAAAUUUAUACUAUAUAUCUUUAAUUUAAAAUGCUUCUUUAUUUAGGGGUGUUAGCUGCAAGAGUUUUUGCUGUUAGCAAAAAAAAAAAAAAAGGUUUUGAUGUUAGCUAAUCUAGCAAUUUGUUUAAUGCCUAAAUUCAUGUGACCUUUACAAGAAAACAGUUAAGUCAUUCACUGAAGAUGUGUGGCUCCAGAGGGCAAAAGUCAUGUGUGUAAGAUCACAGAG